GCGGUAUUUUGACCGUGCAAAGGUAGCAUAAUCAUUAGUCUUUUAAUUGUGGACUGGAAUGAAUGGUUGGACGAGGAAUAUACUGUUUCUUAUAAUAUUAUUGAAUUUAAUUUUUAAGUUAAAAAGCUUAAAUUUAUUUAUAGGACGAGAAGACCCUAUAGAGUUUAUAUACAUUAUUCUAUUUAUUUUGUUUGUUUAUUUUAUUUAGUAUUUAAUAUAUUUUAUUGGGGUGAUUGGAAGAAUUAAUUAACUCUUUUUUUUUAAUAUACAUUAAUUUAUGAAUACUUGAUCCAAUUUUGUUGAUUAUAAGAUUAAAUUACCUUAGGGAUAACAGCGUAAUCUUUUUUGAGAGUUCUUAUUGAUGAAUGGGUUUGCGACCUCGAUGUUGGAUUAAGAUUUAAUUUGGGUGUAGAAUUUCAAUUUGUUUAGGUCUGUUCGACCUUUAAAAUCUUACGUGAUCUGAGUUCA
rnacentral:rRNA from 1 species